rnacentral:misc_RNA from 1 species
CUUAUAAACUAUCACGACGCCCAAAAAGUCGUGGCUUGGGUUUUGCCAGCUGGCGUGAUCUCCUCUAUGAGUAAUCAUGUGAGGUGCCAGAUCUAUGGCGUUUCCCUAAUGUAUCCGGAUGCACCCUUGUCUUGGCAGAAAGCCGUGGUGAGGUGCAGUGGCGGAAUCGUGGUUUAAUAAUCGGGUUGGUACUCAGUUGUCAGUGUGUUCGGCGAUCCCCUAGUCGGCACACUCAUGAUUUCUGGGAUAAUUCCAUACCAGGCACGUUCCGUUACUGUUACUUUGUCAUUGGUUUGAUGCUGAACUUGGUCAUGUGUCUGAUGCUAUUUCAUAUAACGACGGUACCCUUCGUGGUCUGUCUU